AUGAGGGCUGAACACAGACAAGUCACUAUGUCUCCUCUAAACUGGAUUUUCCUUGUUGCUAUUAUAAAAGGUGUCCGGUGUGAGGUGCAACUAGUGGAGUCUGGGGGAGACCUGAGGCAGCCUGAGGGGUCUCUGAGACUCUCCUGUGUAGCCUCUGGGUUCACCUUCAGUAGCAAUCACAUGAACUGGGUUCGCCAAGCUCCAGGGAAGGGACUGCAGUGGGUAUCACGUAUUAGUGCUGAUGGUAGCACAUACUACGCAGACUCCGUGAAGGGCCGAUUCACCAUCUCCAAAGACAAUUCCAAGAACAUGAUAUAUCUCCAGAUGAACAAUCUGAGAACUGAGGACACAGCCAUGUAUUACUGUGCAAGACACAGUGAGAGGAAGUCCGGAGAGCUCAGACAGAAACCUCUCUGUGAGAGCCAAGAGCAUAGGAUGCAGAUCCAGUAUAAGGUGCAGAUGGAGGUUGAAGGUGGUUUCCUGUUGUGA